rnacentral:lncRNA from 1 species
UUGCUUAGUUUUUGAUAAAUAGUAAUAAUUAUUUAUUCAUCAUUAUAGUAUCUCGAGUAAAUGUGAUUCUAUUUCUACUCAUGCAUAUGUAUCUCUUAUGCUCUUAAGAUGUCUGAUAGAUCAACAUAUCAAUCUAAACUUCAUAUGCAAUUGUUGCUGCUUAAAUCGGUCAGAGUCGGAAGACGAACACCUGAAAAUCUCAUGCAGUACUGCUGGUGCUGGAGUCAUCUGCAAAACAAGUCUCAAACUGGAGGUUAGGACUCCGACGAGGAUCCUCCAACACUCAAGUUAGAAAAACAGAGAAUAAAAAAGUAGCAACAGAUUCUCUGAGAGGGAUUCAAUUGAACUUAUCUAGAUCCUCGAAGCUUUGGUUGUUUAUAUAAAAAGAUAUCGGACAGCUGGAUUGUUAGUUGUAAGAUUGCACGAUCAUGAGAUUGUCGGACCAUUGGAUAUGCCAAACGGGAUGAGAUAAUUUAGUCCUUAAUCGCUCCCGCGAGAUCAGGAGAGAUCGUUGCUGGUAGCAUACUGAAUAGGAGAUUUGAAUAACCCUUUGAAUAACCUCGAAGAUCAUGCCUAAUCUUUUUGGCUUUGUUGAAUGAGUGGUG